GAGGGUAUAGCUUAACUGGUAGAGCCCAUACUUAGCAUGCACAAGGUCCUGGGUUCAAUCCCCAGUACCUCCA
rfam:Camelus ferus unplaced genomic scaffold scaffold803, whole genome shotgun sequence.